UGGAUCCAGACUUUGAUUAUGGCUCAGGACGAACGCUGGCGGCGUGCCUAACACAUGCAAGUCGAACGGAACUGUUUUGAAAGAUUUCUUCGGAAUGAAUUUGAUUUAGUUUAGUGGCGGACGGGUGAGUAACGCGUGAGUAACCUGCCUUCAAGAGGGGGAUAACAUUCUGAAAAGAAUGCUAAUACCGCAUGAUAUAUCGGAACCACAUGGUUUUGAUAUCAAAGAUUUUAUCGCUUGAAGAUGGACUCGCGUCCGAUUAGUUAGUUGGUGAGGUAACGGCUCACCAAGACCGCGAUCGGUAGCCGGACUGAGAGGUUGAACGGCCACAUUGGGACUGAGACACGGCCCAGACUCCUACGGGAGGCAGCAGUGGGGGAUAUUGCGCAAUGGGGGCAACCCUGACGCAGCAACGCCGCGUGAAGGAUGAAGGUUUUCGGAUUGUAAACUUCUUUUAUUAAGGACGAAAAAUGACGGUACUUAAUGAAUAAGCUCCGGCUAACUACGUGCCAGCAGCCGCGGUAAUACGUAGGGAGCAAGCGUUGUCCGGAUUUACUGGGUGUAAAGGGUGCGUAGGCGGCUUUGCAAGUCAGAUGUGAAAUCUAUGGGCUCAUCCCAUAAACUGCAUUUGAAACUGUAGAGCUUGAGUGAAGUAGAGGCAGGCGGAAUUCCCCGUGUAGCGGUGAAAUGCGUAGAGAUGGGGAGGAACACCAGUGGCGAAGGCGGCCUGCUGGGCUUUAACUGACGCUGAGGCACGAAAGCGUGGGUAGCAAACAGGAUUAGAUACCCUGGUAGUCCACGCUGUAAACGAUGAUUACUAGGUGUGGGGGGUCUGACCCCUUCCGUGCCGGAGUUAACACAAUAAGUAAUCCACCUGGGGAGUACGGCCGCAAGGUUGCAACUCAAAGGAAUUGACGGA
rnacentral:rRNA from 1 species